UCCCAGUUAAGGAAAGAGUGUUCCAAAAGAGCCUGGGGUAUCACUGCACCUGCUGGAGUGAUCUGUACUUCCUUGUUUAAGAGUCCCCUGGAGAAAACAGAAAAACAAUACUUCUGUGGUCAAAGAAGCCCCUUUUUCAAGCAUAUCUGCUGAGAGGAAGUAGAAGAUUGACUCAAGGAAUUAUCUCAUGAAUUAUCUCCUGGGGAAAAAAAUCAGGAAACACAGAACAAACAAGGCUUUUCAUCUUGCAAGUAUAUAUAAAAAGAAGAAUGAAGAAGUUGCUGUUUCUUCUUUAAUUUUUCCAUUUAGGGAAAAAUGAGUCCUAGACUUUCUGACAUGGAAAAGAUAAUGUGCAAAAACUGCCAAAAAAGUGUGUCUUUUUUUUUUAGCUAAUGAUAGUGUUGGACUGCAAAAGAGCAAAAAGUAAUUUUAACAGUGUUGGUCUUUGAAACAAAAAUCUAAACCGUUAGUUGAUGGUACUAUCAGAACAUUGAUUUUCUAGACAGGAUUCAGUGCAGAAAGAAGAAAAUAAAUGGAAGUCUCAAAUGAAAAAUGGAAAUCAGAUGAAGACCUGCCAUCCAAAUCUCACCAAUUUCCUGUCUUUUCUAACCCUCUACAUUCCCAAUGGACUCUGGGCAGAGAACAAUACAAUGAAAACAAUACAUCAGUAAUACAAUUAAAAAUAUAUGUUGGAGUCCAUAUUUUUGGUUAUUUUUGCCUAUUGUAGUAAUAUUAAAAUGAUGUAUUCUUGUAGUGAUGUAUGUUAGCAUUUUAUUCCAGUUACUUAUGUUUGGUGCAUGAGAGCGUCUUCAGUUAUUUCUGUUGCAACAUAGACUAUAAAAUAAAUUGAAGAAUCCAGAAAGAAAGAUUUUUUUUUGAAUAUUUCUGUGUAAAAAUACAUGACAAAUGUAUGUCUAAAUUUUAGGCUUUUCAUAAACUUGUAGCCUAAUCCAAAUGGUGACUGGCCUUCCUCCUAAUUGACCCAAAAAAUUGUCAUAGAUUUUUCUAUGAAAAAUAAUCACAAUCCUGCCAUUUCUCUUCACAGCGAUAGGAAAUACAACUCUAGGAACUUAA